rnacentral:lncRNA from 1 species
AGCGCUUUAUGUCCUAAUUCCAGGUCUGUUAACUCAGCCGGCUUUCAAUGGCAUUUUCAGGUAAGUACCCUGUGUGACAUCUACCUUCUCCAUAAAUAUAUAGAUUUAUGGGUAAUCCUUAUUUUUAGCAAUAAUAAUAAUUAAUAAAAAAUACAAUCUCAGGGGUGGGACAGGACCAUCGAGCAGAGAGGAUGCCAACUUUCACUGCUCCAAUCUUGAGAUAUCCGGACGUACCGGUUAUGGUGCAAUCUAAGAUCGCUAGCGGCAUUGAGGGCUGUGGAAGCUUCCGGUUAUCUGCUAUAAGUGGGUCUAUCCUAGAGGUCCCAGGCAGUGCUAUACGUCAGUGGGUCUAUCCUAGAGGUCCCAGGCAGUGCUAUACGUCAGUGGGUCUAUCCUAGAGGUCCCAGGCAGAGCUAUACGUCAGUGGGUCUGUCCUAGAGGUCCCAGGCAGUGCUAUACGUCAGUGGGUCUGUCCUAGAGGUCCCAGGCAGUGCUAUAAGUCAGUGGGUCUGUCCUAGAGGUCACAGGCAGUGCUAUAUGUCUGUGGAUCUGUCCUAGAGGUCCCAGGCAGUGCUAGAGGUCCCAGGCAGUGCUAGAGGUCCCAGGCAGUGCUAGAGGUCCCAGGCAGUGCUAGACGUCUGUGGGUCUAUCCUAGAGGUCCCAGGCAGUGCUAUAAAUCAGUGGGUCAGUCCUACAGGUCCCAGGCAGUGCUAUACGUCUGUCCUAGAGGUCCCAGGCAGAGCUAUAUGUCAGUGGGUCUGUCCUAAAGGUCCCAGGCAGUGCUAUAAAUCAGUGGGUCAGUCCUACAGGUCCCAGGCAGAGCUAUACGUCAGUGGGUCAGUCCUAGAGGUCUCAGGCAGUGCUACACGUCAGUCUGUCUGUCCUAGACGUCACAGGCAGUGCUAUACGUCUGUGGGUCUGUCCUAGAGGUCCCAGGCUGUUCUAUAUGUCAGUGGGUCUGUCCUAGAGGUCCCAGGAAGAGCUAUACAUCAGUGGGUCUGUCCUAGAGGCCCCAGGCAGUGCUAUAAGUCAGUGAGUCAGUCCUAGGGGUCCCAGGCAGUGCUACACGUCCCCCAUAUCAGCUGUGCAUGCUAUGUUAUUAAUAGAUUGCAUUAUUUUGUCAGGUGUUGAAGACCAUCUGUGUAAAGGCCCCUAUGAGCGGCCCCCCAAUUACAGCACUAUUGCUCCCUAUGCUCCUCCUGUCACAUACCCAUCAGCUACAUCUAUAGACCCCAUGCUAAUUAAUGGGGUUCCUGCAGGUCUGGAGUAUCUUACCCAGGUAAUAUUAUAUACAUACACCCUAAGCCGUGUACACUGUGUGCCCAUUUUGGGCGUAUAAUAUCUGAUUCACGAUAUCACUAUUUCACUAUAUCUCUGAUUCACUAAAUCCAUUUCUGUGCAAAAAUAUCAGGCAUUAGGUGAUGUGCAGGCCGUAGAUACAGACAAUAGUUUGGGUGUUUAUGGCCUGUGCUUCGCCGAUAUCCAAUAUACGCUGUCAGUUAUCUUGAUAGCCGGUAUACGCUGUUACUGUUAUCCCAAUAUCCAAUAUAUGCUGUUACUGUUAUCCCGAUAUCCGGUAUAUGCUGUUACUGUUAUCCCGAUAUCCAAUAUAUACUGUCGGUUAUCUUGAUAUCCGGUAUAUGUUAGUUGUCUUGAUAUCCAGUAUACGCUGUAAGUUAUCCGGAUAUCCACUAUAUGCUGUUACUGUUAUUCCGAUAUCCAAUAUACGCUGUAAGUUAUCCCGAUAUCCAAUAUACGCUGUAAGUUAUCCCGAUAUCCAAUAUAUGCUGUUACUGUUAUCCCGAUAUCCGGUAUAUGCUGUUACUGUUAUCCCGAUAUCCAAUAUACGCUGUAAGUUAUCCCGAUAUCCGGUAUAUGCUGUUACUGUUAUCCCGAUAUCCGGUAUAUGCUGUUACUGUUAUCCCGAUAUCCGGUAUAUGCUGUUACUGUUAUCCCGAUUAUCCAAUAUACGCUGUCCGUUAUCUUGAUAUCCGGUAUAUGCUGUUCCUGUUAUCCCGAUAUCCGGUAUAUGUUAGUUGUCUUGAUAUCCAGUAUAUGCUGUAAGUUAUCCCGAUAUCCGGUAUAUGCUGUUACUGUUAUUCCGAUAUCCAAUAUACGCUGUUAGUUAUCCCGAUAUCCAGUAUACGCUGUCAGUUAUCUUGAUAUCCGGUAUAUGCUGUUACUGUUAUCCCGAUAUCCGGUAUAUGCUGUUACUGUUAUUCCGAUAUCCAAUAUACGCUGUAAGUUAUCCCGAUAUCCAGUAUAUGUUAUUGGUUAUCUUGAUAUCCGGUAUUUGCUGUUACAGUUUUCCCAAUAUCUGGUAUAUGCUGUGUGACAGACCCUCUGUCAAUCGAUGCUCCUAGUGCUGACCAAGGUCCAUUAGCACUGCACCAGACACCAUAAGCACUGCAGACCCCACGGACCGCCACAGCUUGGUUGGGGUCUCGAUGUCUCCAACCCAACCUGGACCUACGACAAGGCUCCAGACUCAAAUGGGUGAACCUCUCUUCCUUCAGAGAGCGUAGCAGGAACAGCUCUUACAAUAGCUAGUGAUUAUCCAAGGGCGUAUGAUGAUCAUAGCCAUCCCUUGGCUAUGAUCAUCAUACACGAGACAAGGCUGCAAGUUGAGGGUAAGAAGGUUUUAAUGGUACAGGUUGGAUUUUUAUACAGGUUUUUCAGGCCAGAGGCACACCCACUGGACCUGAUGGAGGACAGGGGCACAAGGGACAAAAACCAAUGAAAACAGUAAUUAACAGUACGACACUCCCACAUACAGUAAACAAUCCCUCCCCUCUGCCUGUGAUAUAAUUAAGGUAGUUAAUGCAUUAACUUAAUUAUCCACAGGCAGAAAAAACACAAUUUUAUAAAGUAACAUAAGUACCCCAAAACAUAACAUAUCUCCAUUGCAUCCCCUGAGAGUCCUGAUCUGGGUGAACAACAUAUCCCAAAAUCACCCAGAUCAGGGGUUCAGAAAUUCUAUGGAAGUCAUAGUUUUGCCCAUGCAAACACAGGAUUUCAUGCCUAAAACAGUUCCAUAGAAUUGCGACUAAGUGCCGCUGGAGGACCGACCGGGAAUCGCGAGGUUUUCAUGCCGAAAAUAGUUCCAGGGCAUUCGCGGCUAAGUCCCCCUGAAGUCUAUUCCGGUUGUGACAAACUCCCCUUUUUAAGGGAGUUUGCCAUGAGUUUUUGGAGGGGCCUGCUUACCAGCCUUCUACCCUGGGACUAUGGUUCCUGUGAUAACCCAUGUUCAAAAGUACUGUUUCUGCCCCUUGGACUUUUAACUGGAACAGAUUCAAACAUGUGGCAGCGGCCAUCUUAAAUUGUCCAGCAGUGUUUUGCCGUCGAGUGUAUGGAACUGUUUUGGGCAUGGGACCAUGUGCACGGUGGGGGAAAAAUAAGACUUACAGGAAAUUCCUGAACCGAUCUGGGUGAUUUUUGGAUAUGUUGUAUUUUGGGGUACUUUUUGGGGUUUGUAAAAAUGUAUGUUUUUUUUUCUGCUUAGAGUUAAUUGAGUUAGUUCAUUGUCUUUGUUAAUUGUAUCACAGGCAGAGGGGAGGGAUUGUGUACAGUAACUGGGAGUGUUCAAGUGUAAAACUCUGUUUUUAUUGGAUUGUGAAUUUCAUGUUGUAACGGACCGUUUCGCUCACAAGGGGAUAAAAACCAUUUAGGCGAUAAUCCCCUUCCAGAUAGACCAGCAGCUACUGCAAUCACCAACCUCCCGAACUGCAAACUGUACGUAUUCACCAACUCUCGAACAGCAGACACACGAACCCUGGAAGCAGCCGAACAGGAAAAGCCCUAAGAACUGCACGAAUUCCUCAGAGGGGACAAAUGCAACGAGCGCCAGCCGCGAGGCACACUCUUUGUCAAAUGCCUCCUGCGUGUAGCGGGGUGCCAUGCUUGCUCUGUCGAAGUUGGUUCCUUUGUACAUAGGGUCGCUGUACGUGUACUAGCGUUGCUCCCAAUUGUAAUCCAGGCACUGGUGUUGUCUUGUAGCUGUCCUUCUGGUUGUAGGAACGAUCCCACUGCUAACACCAAUUGUAACGGACCGUUUCGCUCACAAGGGGAUAAAAACCAUUUAGGCGAUAAUCCCCUUCCAGAUAGACCAGCAGCUACUGCAAUCACCAACCUCCCGAACUCCAAACUGCACAUAUUCACCAACUCUCGAACAGCAGACACACGAACCCUGGAAGCAGCUGAACAGGAAAAGCCCUACGAACAGCUUACACUCCUGGCAAUAGGCAUACAGUCAAAUUCCUCCCAAGAAUGAGACGACACUUCACUUUGAGGGUUAAACAGGAGCUCCCUGUACUGUCACAUACAGUCUCUUUUAUUCCCAAUCCACAAACAUAGUACAGCCCACAGGGCGUUACAAAACAACCAAUCAAUCCGUACAAUACACCCAGACACUCCCACACAAAAUCCUCCCCUCUGCCUGUGAUAUGAUUACUGAACACAAUGGGUAAUCUCAUUAUCACCGGCAGAGGAAUACAGUUUUUACACAAUAUUUAUAACUUCUAAAAUAUACAUGUCACAAACAUAAAACAUACAUUUUCAUAAUCAAUCCAUUCAGGGGAACAACAUAUUAAAAAAUGGCACGAAUCAGACCAGGGGUUCAAAAGUUAAGGGAAAGUCCUUUGUGACUAAAUGAAGCAUGGCUUUCCGGCCCAAACCAGUUUCAGAGUCUUCUAUCCUGGAGAUAAUUGAGAAGUAAUUCAAUUAUCUCCCAGGACAGACACAAGACUCCAUUAUGCACAUGGUGAGCACAAAGCAUUAAAAUAUUAUAAAAUACACAAAGUCACAUUUUAUACAUAAAACACAGACAUGUCACAUAUCCCCAGAUAGCUGGGAUCUGAGCGCACAAAACUACCGAAUAGCGCUCAGAUCCUAUUCACACAGUUCAAUUGCCAUGGAGCCGAAGUCUUUAACUACACGAAUGGGCUCCAUGGCAUAGCUAUCUGGGUUAACACAUUCACAUAAAGUCUGGUCCAUAGUCCAAAGGCAAGAGGCGGGCAAGCAGCCCCCUCCAAGGACACGUGUGAGGUUGGUUUCGCCACACAUGUCCUGUGCCCUACAAGGUCCCCCUGGGCAUUAACCUUGUGAGGAAAGACUGUAUAAAAGAGAAGCUACAAAAGAGGUAGAUAAAACCAAAAAAUGGUGUAGAAUAUUUAAAACACCAUAAAGUGCGCUAGUAUAAAAUGCACUCACAGAGUGGAAUUAAGUUGCAGACAUAUAGAGGUCUUUAGGAUUCAAUGAAGAUCAAAUGUUCUUCUUUUUAAACCGUAAUAUAAAGGGGGAGAGACACAGGACAUAGUGCACCAAUGUAAGCCCUUAAAGACCAAACUUCUGGAAUUAAAGGGACUCAUGACAUGUCACACAUGUCGAGUCCAUAAGGGGGUAAAAGAUGACAAAAAAUUUAAUUUAAAUUGCACUCACAAGAUAUGUAAUAAAAUCAAGCCUAUCAGAGACUCUGAUGAGUCCAACUCCAGUCACACUUCCUGGUCUUGAAGAUGUAGCCGGAAACAAAAUAAAAAAAAAUAAAAAACCUACACAGAUACAAAAAAUAAUAAAAUAAACAUAAAAAUAAAGUCCAAUUAUAGGUUUAGCCGUGGUUUCUCCGCCCCACGCGUUUCGUCCUGAAUUAGGACUUCCUCAGGGGUAUUUCAAGGUGUAGUGUGUAUCCUCCUUCGUCUGCUUCUUAUAUGUUGAGGUAUGAAUUCCCGCAGUGCGGGCGCCAAUCGUAGGGAAAUUUGUGAUUAAAAUCAUCUGUUUCUAAUCACACGCGGCUUUCCGGGUACCAAGCCUCCGUUCCAAACGUGCGUUCCAAAAAGAUGUAGUUCUGGCACUGUGUGCAUAAAAAACGAGGAAGUCCAUGUCCAUGUAUAGUACAACGAGAAAUGAAAAAUAAGACAUAGAAGGAAAUUAAUUGGAAAAAUAUGACCCCAAUAAUGACAAACCAGAAUACAUUAAUCUAAAUGAAAGAGAUCUAAUCAUAUCAAAGACCAAUAGUAUAUAAAAUAAAAAAGGUCCAUUUAAAAGGUACAGAUAAACUCUCAAUUAACCGUAAGAAAAAGAAAGAGAAAGGAAAAUGCCCAAAGUUCCAAGUGAUUUUUUUUUUUUUAGACCAAGGCUUAAGGAAGAAGAAAGAAAUUACCCAAUUCUUCUCCCCAAAGCUACCACAAAUUGAUCUUACCAACUGGUUUGCACCUUUGGGGGAGUGGAAUGCCCCAGAGAAAAAGAGGAGGUUGAGUGGAUAAAGGUAGAGGAAGAAUAAAUGAAUUUGUUCGCAGUAGAGGUAUCUUUAUUAUUGAUAAUGCAAACCUCACUUUAGACGAAUUACUAAUUUUAGAAAAAGGACUUACAUUUGCUCCAAAUGUUCCUGUUAAACCUUUUGAUCUAUUUAUAGAUCUUAACAAAUUUAUUCAAAAAUUAUCAUUAAAAAGGUUUUUUGCUAAAAAAGAAAGAGGAAGACAGACCACAAAUACAUUGAAACAAGAGAGAAUCAGAACAGACCCCUUUUUAAAGCUAAAUCAACCUUUUGCCCUACCGAAAAAGGGAGUCAAAUAGAAGCCUUUGCCAAAAUGAUAAAUAACGAUUUAGAGAAAAUGAACCUUUAACGGAACCGCUGGCACCCCGACCUGGUACCUUCCGCUGACUGAUGCUCCUAGUGCUUUCCGAGGACUACAAGCACUCUACCCAACACCAUAACCACUGCAGACCCCAAGAACCGCCGCAGCUUGGUUGGGGUCUCGCCGUCUCCACCCACUCUGGACCCAAGACCAGGGUCCAUCUUCCAGUAGGUCGACCUCUCCAAAUUCCAGAGAGCAGGAACAGGAACAAGCUCUUAGCAGAGCUUAGUGAUUAUACCCUGGGGAGUAUAGUGAUUAGAGCAAUCCCCAGAGUGUAGUUCUCCAAUCCCCCAAACAUGAGCCAAGGCUUCAAGAAAGGUACAAGAUGAUCUGCUUUUAAUGACCACAUACUGGCUUUUAUGCAAGUCCCCAUGCAAGGAGACAUCCCACAGGGUGGGACACAAUACAACCAAUUCUUUACAGGAAAACCGUAAAACACACCCAGCCCCAACAUACAAUCCCUCCCCUCUGCCUGUGAUAUAAUUACUGAACACAAUGGGUUAAUGUAAUUUAUCACAGGCAGGAAAAAUACACUUUCUACACAUAUACUGUAACUUUACAGAUAUGCAUCAUAUUCACAUAAAAUAUACAUAUUCAGAAUCAGCAUACUUUAAAUAUAAACAUAACCAAAAAUCAUACAAAUCCAUCCAGUGAAUAAAAAGUUAGACGGAAGUCCUUUAUGACCGACCGCAAGCACAUUUCCUGCCCAAAACAGUUCCAUAGAUUUGGGCUGUGUGGUCAGUCUAUUUUACACAGAAAAAUGACUAAGUCCCUGUGGCAAACCUAGCCACUUGGACAUUAUACAGAGACUGUGGCUUUAAGGAUUGCCUGUAUGGCUGUGGGGAUAUGUAUGUUCCUGGGUGUAAUGUAUGCUGACUGUAUUGUAUUGCCUGUACAGGGAGUGCAGAAUUAUUAGGCAUGUUGUAUUUUUGAGGAUUAAUUUUAUUAUUGAACAACAACCAUGUUCUCAAUGAACCCAAAAAACUCAUUAAUAUCAAAGCUGAAUAUUUUUGGAAGUAGUUUUUAGUUUGUUUUUAGUUUUAGCUAUGUUAGGGGAUAUCUGUGUGUGCAGGUGACUAUUACUGUGCAUAAUUAUUAGGCAACUUAACAAAAAACAAAUAUAUACCCAUUUCAAUUAUUUAUUAUUACCAGUGAAACCAAUAUAACAUCUCAACAUUCACAAAUAUACAUUUCUGACAUUCAAAAACAAAACAAAAACAAAUCAGUGACCAAUAUAGCCACCUUUCUUUGCAAGGACACUCAAAAGCCUGCCAUCCAUGGAUUCUGUCAGUGUUUUGAUCUGUUCACCAUCAACAUUGCGUGCAGCAGCAACCACAGCCUCCCAGACACUGUUCAGAGAGGUGUACUGUUUUAUCCUUGUAAAUCUCACAUUUGAUGAUGGACCACAGGUUCUCAAUGGGGUUCAGAUCAGGUGAACAAGGAGGCCAUGUCAUUAGAUUUUCUUCUUUUAUACCCUUUCUUGCCAGCCACGCUGUGGAGUACUUGGACGCGUGUGAUGGAGCAUUGUCCUGCAUGAAAAUCAUGUUUUUCUUGAAGGAUGCAGACUUCUUCCUGUACCACUGCUUGAAGAAGGUGUCUUCCAGGAACUGGCAGUAGGACUGGGAGUUGAGCUUGACUCCAUCCUCAACCCGAAAAGGCCCCACAAGCUCAUCUUUGAUGAUACCAGCCCAAACCAGUACUCCACCUCCACCUUGCUGGCGUCUGAGUCGGACUGGAGCUCUCUGCCCUUUACCAAUCCAGCCACGGGCCCAUCCAUCUGGCCCAUCAAGACUCACUCUCAUUUCAUCAGUCCAUAAAACCUUAGAAAAAUCAGUCUUGAGAUAUUUCUUGGCCCAGUCUUGACGUUUCAGCUUGUGUGUCUUGUUCAGUGGUGGUCGUCUUUCAGCCUUUCUUACCUUGGCCAUGUCUCUGAGUAUUGCACACCUUGUGCUUUUGGGCACUCCAGUGAUGUUGCAGCUCUGAAAUAUGGCCAAACUGGUGGCAAGUGGCAUCGCGGCAGCUGCACGCUUGACUUUUCUCAGUUCAUGGGCAGUUAUUUUGCGCCUUGGUUUUUCCACAUGCUUCUUGCGACCCUGUUGACUAUUUUGAAUGAAACGCUUGAUUGUUCGAUGAUCACGCUUCAGAAGCUUUGCAAUUUUAAGAGUGCUGCAUCCCUCUGCAAGAUAUCUCACUAUUUUUGACUUUUCUGAGCCUGUCAAGUCCUUCUUUUGACCCAUUUUGCCAAAGGAAAGGAAGUUGCCUAAUAAUUAUGCACACCUGAUAUAGGGUGUUGAUGUCAUUAGACCACACCCCUUCUCAUUACAGAGAUGCACAUCACCUAAUAUGCUUAAUUGGUAGUAGGCUUUCGAGCCUAUACAGCUUGGAGUAAGACAACAUGCAUAAAGAGGAUGAUGUGGUCAAAAUACUCAUUUGCCUAAUAAUUCUGCACUCCCUGUAUUAGCUAUCUGCCAAAAGCAGAUAGCUGUAUUUCAUUUCGUUUCACGAACGGCACAUUUGCGGGCCGUUUGUGAACCGAAUAAACCACCGUGUAAUAGCCCACACAUUAAGAGACGUGUGGCGCUUAUUAACCGAUUGCAACAAUCUCCUAGGUGGCUGUCGUUUGACUACCGACCACGCGGCGGUCGGCCAUCUUGGAUCCUUUGUUCCUCAAGCGGUGUUUGGUCGUCGAGCGCGUGGUACUAAAAACGGCUACUCGACGGCGCGAACACCCCUGGACUUCCAGGCCGUUCGGUAUUUUAUUCCCCAUAUGCCAAUCGGUCUUUUAAAUGCAUGUUUUGGUGAAUGUUUUUUGUGCAGCGUUCGGUUGUUUUAGCUGGGAUCUGAGCGGUAAUCUCACGAAUGAUGCGCUCAGACCCCAGCUAUCUACCGAACGUCCAUUUGUGCAAAUCAACCUAAUAUUCGAAAAGUUGUGUAUUUUAAUAUAAAUUGCCGGUUCUGCUGCACGGAGGGAUAAUCCACUUAACAGUACAUUCCAGUGGGAGGAUCCCUCUCGUGCAGUAGUGCCUGAUGGGAGAAAUGCUCUGUACUGUAAGUUCCCCACGUAGUCCACUCCUGGAAUACCCCUGGGAUAGGACUCAGGAAACCCCUUACAUGGGGAAUUGUAUAAAUUGUGGAGCCUGUGAAUAAAGCCUCCGUUGACUCUCAGAACUGUGUUUCGUCCGGUUACUGGGAGAUUUGGGAUAUUGCCUUACUUUUCAUAGCUUGACUGUGGAUUACCUUCUGAACCAGCGGAGAUCGUGGGAUUUAAUAUUGACGCUCCGCUACAGUCCCAUUCGGAGCCGUUCGUGCAUUUGGCUUAGUAUAGUAGUGAGUUCAAACUGCCAAACGGGACUUAGUCUCUGCAGCUGGAAAUUCAGUGUAGGAGAAGGUACAGGUCAGCAGUGUUCGCAGAAAUGUGUAGCUGAUUUCAGUUCCAUGGAUUUGGCUACACAUACCGCUGACCUCGUUCGAAUGAACAAAGAUGGCCGCCGUCACGUGUUGGUUUGCACGAACUGUGGCCACCCAGCAGUCGGCAAUUUACCUACAGCACACUUCCACUUCUGGGUGGUCCGCCUGUGUGGUACCUGGUUCAGUAAGCCCCAUUUACUGAACCAAGUGGGAGAAAGCCAUAGACAAAGUAUUUUAACGGUCUGGGGACAUAGUCUUAAAGGGGCAUUGUCACACAAAGUCUCAAUAUGUCCCCAGACGGUUCUUAAAGGGCCAGCAUAGUCCAAUACAAGUCCACAAAUCACAAUGCAGUUCUUAAAGGGCCAGCAGCAGCACAAUAUAAAUCCAUUAUUAUUAUUAUUAUUAUUAUUGCCAUUUAUAUAGCGCCAACAGAUUCCGUAGCACUUUACAAUAUUAUGAAAGGGGAUUUAACUAUAAAUAGGACAAUUACAAAUAAACUUACAGGAACAAUAGGUUGAAGAGGACCCUGCUCAAUCGAGCUUACAUUCUAUAGGAGGUGGGGUGUAAAACACAUUAGGACAGGAAUGUGCAAUCAAAUAAGGUGGGCUGCCCUUUAGGAGAGGGCAAGAGACGGGUAUGUGAGGUAGGGGUUAGUCUUGGAGGCCAUAAGCUUUCCUAAAGAGAUGGGUUUUAAGGCACUUCUUAAAAGAUGCAAGACUAGGGGAGAGUCGGAUGGCGGUAGGCAGGCUAUUCCAUAGGAAGGGAGCCGCCCGCGAGAAGUCCUGCAAGCGCGAGUUGGCCGUACGGGUGCGGACAACGGACAGGAGGUGGUCACGGGCAGAGCGGAGAGACCGAGAAGGGACAUACCUGUGGAUCAGUGAGGAGAUAUAAGAGGGGCUAGAGUUGUUCAGUGCUUUAUAGGUGUGAGUUAGUGCCUUGAAUUGACUCCUAUAGCACACAGGAAGCCAAUGUAAGGACUGGCAGAGGGGUGAGGUGUGAGAGAACCGACUAGAGAGGAAAAUCAGUCUAGCAGCAGCAUUCAUUACAGACUGUAGGGGUGCAGUGCGGCUUUUGGGAAGACCAAGCAGGAGAGGGUUACAAUAAUCCAUGCGUGAAAUUAUUAGAGCAUGGACAAGCUCCUUGGUAGUAUCUGGUGCAAGAAAGGGGCGGAUGCGGGCUAUGUUUUUAAGAUGGAAUCUACAGGAUUUGGCAACAUGCUGGAUGUGAGGCUCAAAGGUGAGACCAGAGUCAAGUAUGACGCCAAGACAGCGCGCUUGCAAGGAUGGGCUGAUGUUGGUACCACAAACUUGAAGGGAGAGCGAGAGAGGAGGAUCAGUAUUAGGAGGAGGAAAGACAAGGAGCUCAGUUUUUGAGAGAUUGAGUUUCAGAAAGCGGGAGGACAUCCAGUCAGAGAUGGAAGAAAGGCAAGCAGUGACACGUUGCAGGACAGCAGGGGAGAGGUCCGGGGAGGAGAGAUAUAGCUGGGUGUCAUCAGCGUACAGGUGGUAGUGGAAACCAAAUGAGGUAAUAAGUUUGCCAAGAGAGGCAGUGUAAAGAGAAAAUAGAAGGGGACCAAGGACGGAGCCUUGGGGGACUCCAACCGAGACAGGGCGAGGGGAGGAGGUAUCAUUAGAAAAAGAGACACUGAAUGAGCGUUGGGAGAGAUAAGAGGAAAACCACGAGAGGACAGAGUCACAGAGACCAAGCGAUUGCAGAGUUUGAAGAAGGAGAGCAUGAUCAACGGUGUCAAAGGCCGCCGAGAGGUCAAGAAGAAUUAGUAUGGAGUAGUGGCCUUUGGAUUUAGCUGCGAUUAGCCCAAAUAAUGUUUGUAAAGUGCCAUACAACCCAGGGCCGUAGUCAUGAGGCAGGAGGCUGGCAAUCAGGCUCCUCCAACAGCCAGGGGCAAAGGGCAACUUGUCACCUAAAAAUCCAGUGACAAAAGGCAUUUCGUCACAGAACCCAAAGAUAAAAAUUUUAACUUGACCAUUAAAGAAAAUGUUUAAAAAAAUCUUAAACAAAGAGAGGAUAUUGUGAUUAAAAGUGCCGACAAGGAAUCGUUACGCCUCCUAGGAGAUGUAGACACAUAUGGUAAGCUAAAAGAAAAUCCUAACAAACAAAAAGUUAAAAGAUUUUUUCUAGCAUUAUAAAAGCCUAAAUAUUCUUUGUAACGGAUCACCUGGCACCCCGACUGGGUACCUCCGUUCAAGGAUGCUCCUAGCACUUCCUGAGGACUCCAAGCACUGCAGCAGACACCUCAACCACCGAACCGUAGGAGCAUAUGAAUGUUGUAUACAGCCGAAUAGGAAAAACCAUACGGAUGGGUUUAGACUCCUAGCAGUCAAACUGGAACAGCAUACAAUAAAUCCUCCCCCAAUAAUGAGACGACACUUCACUUUGAGGGUUAAGCAGGAACUAACUGUACUGGCACAUACAGCCUCUUUUAUUCCCAAUCCACAAAUUUAGUACUGCCCACAGGGUUUUACAGAACAACCAAUAACACUUACAUUACAGAAAGACACUCCCACACAAAAUCCUCCCCUCUGCCUGUGAUACAAUUACCUUACACAAUGGGUAAUUUAAUUAUCACAGACAGAGAAAUACAGUUUCAUAAAACACAUCACAGGUACCCCAAAACAUGCAAUAACCCCAUAAAAAAUCAUAUAUCCUUGGAACUGGGGGAUCUGGGUGAACCACAUAUCCAAAAUUCACCCAGAUCCGUUCAGUACUUUGGAAAAUACAGUUUAAUGCAGAUUCUGCAGAACAUAUACAGGCUAAAUGAAAAACAAUCACUGUAUAAUGUGUCCCCUGCUGUAUAGUCCAAAACCACUGCACGAUGUCUCUGUGCACCAAAUACUGGCGAGAUGGCACCGUGUUGAAAAGUCCAAAAAGUGUCUGUGAGUUAAAAUGGCCACCAUCCAUUGUUCUCACCAUGUGCUUCAUCCAUUGUUCUCACCAUGUGCCUCUGAUACAGGAAAUGGUACACCCAGUAACUCCACAGUAUGUCCCCAUAUGGUUCUUAAAGGGCCAGCAGCAGCACAACACAAAUCCCUUAUGCCCAAAUCAUGUCUUUAAAGGGCAAUACAUCCCAGGGGCCAUAGUCACAUGGCAGGAGGCUGGCAAUCAGUCUUCUCCAAUGCCCAGUGGCGAGGUUGGUUUUGCCACAUUCUUAAUGACAAACUUUUUUCUUUUUUAUAUUUAGACUUCCCUAGGAUCCCUACUUUUUACCAAAAGUACAUAAAUCCAUCUCUGAACCACCAGGACGCCCUAUUAUUAGUGGCGUGGAUUCACGAACAUGUAGGUUGUCCGAAUUUGUUGAUUCCUCCCUCCAAAAAUACACUCAAAGUGCUAGAUCUUAUCUUAAGGAUACAAAACACCUUAUCCAAGACUAGAUUGUAUUGAAUGGAGGGAGGACUACAUAUGGGCAACCCGUCACUUCUUUGUACACGAUUAUUGACCAUACCCUUGGCCUAAAGGCCGUGAAACGUGCUUUGGAUUUAGAUAAGAACUUAUCCUCUCUUUUUGGACAGUUUAUUUUGGAAAGUAUACAGUUUAUUUUAACCCAUAAUUUUUUUUUUAGCUUUAACAGUAAUUUUUAUUUACAAUUGAAGGGCAAUGCCAUGGGUACCAAGUUCGCACCGAGUUACGCCAACAUAUUUAUGGAUUAAGACACCCCUAGUGUCUUUAAACGAAACCGCCGUUUAGACGACCUUCCCCUUCUGCAGUAUACAUAAUCCUCGUUCGCAUAACCUGUAGUGCAUGAACCAAGCUCAGGGGAAGCGGCAAUCUCCCGACCGGGAUCCGUGAACGGCUCCAAACUCCCGAACGGCAAUCCACGAACUACUACUAACCGCCGAACAAUAACAUCCUCCAAGCGGCUUUCGGUUCCAUCCAGCAGUCUCUAAACGUGAAGAAGAAAUCCCCCCAAUAACGAGACGGAAGCUCCGCAUUGAGGGUCAAACAGGAUCUGGCUUUACUGUGGGCUACCUGCCCGUAUUUAUGCAGGUCUCCCCUGAUGGCGGUCCUGGUUAUGGUUAUCCCGAUGGCCAGUAUAUGCUGCUACUGUUAUCCGAUAUUUGGUACAUGCUUUUACUGUUUUCCCGAUAUCCGGUAUAUGCUGUUACUGUUUGUGAUGAACUGAACCUUGUUUCGGGUUCUUGGAGGGGCCUGCAUGCCAGCCUCCUGCCUCAGGACUAUGGGCCUUGCGAUAUGCCUUGCCCAAUGCACUUUAAAAGGCUCUGUUCAUGUGAAGUAUGUACUUUUGUACUCCAGACAGUGACCGACCAUUAACCCCGAUUCCCUGGAACUGUUUUGGGCAUAGGACCAUGUGCAAAGUCAGUAAAAAAAUAAGAAAUCCAGGAAAUUCCUGAACUGAUCUGCGUGAUUUUUGGAUAUGUUGGUCACCCAGAUAAGGGGAUGUAACGUUUGUGGGGGUUUUGUGUGGUUUAAGAUAUUUUGGGGGGGUUUGUAAAAAUGUAUGUUUUUUCUGUGCUUGGAUUAGAUUAGUACAGUUCCUGAUCCAAUUGUCUCCCAGGCACAGAGAAGGGAUUAUCUGAUUUUGUAUGGGAGUGUCCUGGACCCGAGAGUCAAUGUGACUGUGUAUUUAUUUCUACUGUUAUUUACUCUCAGAUCCAGGGGGCAGUGCCCCUUGCAUGGGGACUGUCAUAAAAGGCCAGUUGUGUCUACCAUUAAACAGAGAUUCGUUUUACCCUUCAUGAGUUCGAGGCUCAUGUUUGGGGGAUUGGAGAUUGCUAUAAUCACUAUACUCACUUGGAUCACAACACUGCUUCGCUCUCUGGACUAGGAGAGUUCUACCCACUGGAAGCUGGAUCCUGGUCUUGGGUCCAGGGUGGGUGGAGGACAGCGAGACUCCAACCAAGCUGCGUCAGUUUGUGGGGUUUAUGGAGGUUUUGGUGUUCCAGUGCAGUGCUUAUGGUGCUCGCAAGUACUUGUAAGCAGCAAUUGACAGAGGUACCCGUUCGGGGUGCCAAGCAGUCUGUCACAUGCUGUUAAUGUUAUCCCGAUAUCCGGUACAUGCUGUUAAUGUUAUCCCGAUAUCCGGUACAUGCUGUUAAUGUUAUCCCGAUAUCCGGUACAUGCUGUUACUGUUAUCCCGAUAUCCGGUACAUGCUGUUACUGUUAUCCCGAUAUCCGGUACAUGCUGUUACUGUUAUCCCGAUAUCCGGUACAUGCUGUUAAUGUUAUCCCGAUAUCCGGUACAUGCUGUUAAUGUUAUCCCGAUAUCCGGUACAUGCUGUUAAUGUUAUCCCGAUAUCCGGUACAUGCUGUUAAUGUUAUCCCGAUAUCCGGUACAUGCUGUUAAUGUUAUCCCGAUAUCCGGUACAUGCUGUUACUGUUAUCCCGAUAUCCGGUACAUGCUGUUACUGUUAUCCUGCUAUCCGGUACAUGCUGUGUAGCGGAGAGCUGGUCUUUCACAGGUUAACUCCACUAAAGAUCCCAAUAAGGCUCAGGAACAAGUUAUAAAAUACCAUAGGAGAAUAAUCGCAGCAAGCUAGGUAAUCCACGAAGAUCCCAAUACGGAUCCCAAUGACUGGACGACACACAGCAUCAGGAGCAGAACUGACUUUUAAUGCACACAACUUCCUUAUAAAGCAUUCUCCCAUGCAAGGGAGGGAUUUGCAAUAAUUGGUACAGUAGCCAAUCCUCCAAGAGUUGCCACCCACACAUCCCCUCCCCUUAGUGUGACACAUAAUCCCCUUAUGCAGGACACAAAUUCCUUGAGUUUCUGGAUGUACCCCUAAACGUAGGGGUACCCCUUUAAAUGUUACAUCCCCUGGUAGCCCUGAUCUGGGUGAGACACAUAUCCAAAAAUCACCCAGAUCGGACCAGGGGGUCGGGAAAUUUAUGGAAGUACAAAUGACCGACCGCGCUGGGUUUACCAGCCAAAAAGGGCUCCAUGCGUUUUGGCCCUGCGGUCGGUCACACAAAAGGGAAUGUAACAUGCGAAUGACUUGUGUUAGGAGAGCUGGGGAGGUUUUGUGUAAUUUCCCUUGUUCGUGGGAUUCAAACUACCGAACGAGAAACCGUUCGGUAGUUUGCAUACGAAUUGGCUGCAGUGUUUGUCUGACUGAGUGUCCGAUUUGGGUUCCAGACACUCGACGGCAAAACACAGCUGUUCGGGAGUUUUAAAAUGGCGUGUUUGUCUCCCGAAUGGCGGCCACCCAGAGAACAAAGGACCCACUACACGAACCGUCAAUUACCCGUUUGCAACAUUGUUGCGAACAGCAAUUGGAGGCACACUUAUUACAGGGGUGGUCUGAUUGUUCGGUAGUUUAAUUCGCAUAAUACUGGAGUGAUUCUACCAAACAAUCAGGCGAAUGCUGCAUACACUUCACAUAUACAGAUUACAAUUUAACCGAAUACAUAGACAUAAAUGCACUUUUUAGGACAGCCCAAUGCCAUCCGAUACAUGCUGUUACUGUUAUUCCACCAUAUGACGUAUCUGCUGUCAUAUUAUUGAUUUAGCACACUAUAUAAUAAUCCAUUGGUAGGUUGUCCCAGGAUUGUCGUAGUUGAUGAAUUGCUACAUUAUUGAACCAUGCUGCAGUAUUGCCAAUAUUAGACCGAUAUAAAUGGUCUCUGAAUGCUCCUUACGCAAUGUAUAGUGUCGAACAGUGCACAAGGGGUGUUAAACGGCCAUAUGAAGAUUAUCAAUGUGUACUAUGGGUCAUAUUUUAUAGGCUGCUACAAGAUGUGUGUAUGUGUAUUAAGUGUCUUGAAACUAAGCUUUCUAGCUCUAACAGGUACAGACCAACAUUCCCUUUGGCAAAAUACACAAUGACCGAGUUGCACGAAUGAAACGUGUAACCUGCACGGACUUUCCCGCAUUCGUCCUGAGUGACACGUCUCGGAAUGCAGAAAACCUGUUUUACUCUACAAAUAGGUUACAAUGUGCGGGUGUCAGAUGGUAGUCAGAAACAAGAUGGGGCUAAAUAAAGGGUGCUAUUGUGCUGACAGGGUGAACGAUCGUAUGCAGGUCACGUGAUUUGCAUUUAUAUGUUUAUUAAUCACAUUUUUAUUCAUUUUCUUCCCAGAUAAAUCAGAUGACCGUGCGGGCCAAAUGUAAGACUUUUCAUUAUAUCGCCUGCUCUCGUCCCUCAAUCUUUCUCCUCCUGAAUUCGCCGCUGGGGUUUCUGAAUUUCUUACUUUCUCUUCCUAAACCCAACUCUGUAAUGUUCUGAGCUUGUUAUCAUGAAUACGAAUUGUUCUGACUGGAUUCCAGUGUUUAUGGGGUCACUGCACUGAAUUCCACACAUUCCUGUUAGUUACAAUAAUAUUGUAUAUUGAAUCGACACAUAAACGAUUUAUGUAAUGAAAAAAGGACUGACCUCUAAAUCCACAUGAUCUAGACCAGAGGUAGGCAACCUUUUAGCAGCACUGUGCCGAUAUAGGAUUGUGAUGUCCCGUAGCGCGCCGGUCCUAUUUUUUUAAAUUGAGGUGUGUAUGCUGCCGUAUUCUGCUUGUAUUAUUUAUCCUGUAAUUGCUUUGUAUCGUUGUAUUUGUGCGUAUAUGAGCUAUUAUAUUGUAUAUGUUCAUGAGUAGAUUGUGGUAUUGUGUAUGAUACAUAUGAAUGUGGGCUGUGUAUUGGGGCAGCUUGUGGAAUUGUGUGUGGAUGGAAAUGUCACCUUGUGUGUUUGGUAGUGUGUGUAUGUGUGGGGGCUGUUUGGGGUAUAGCAUGUGAGAGCUGCAUGUGGGGUUGUGUGCAUGUAUGUGGAUUGUUAGAGGUGUUGCGUUUGUGCGGAUUGUGUGUAUGUUUGUGUGUGGGCUGUCCGUAUUAUUUGUAUGAGGGGAGGGUCUUUCUGCAUUUCUGUGUACAUCUAGCAGUGUGGGUGGAUUCCCUGGGUUCCAGUGGGGAGCAGGCCGGCCAGGUACAGGUCAAGGACAGGAGCUGCAACAACAACUGCAGGUUUCUCUACUACUGUGUUGAUUCCCAUUCACAAGUGCUGGAAUGAAGUGCUCUGAGAUCACUUCCUCUACGUGCUGCAAUGCAUAAAUUGAGGAUAGGCAUAAAUUGUCCUUCACCACCUCUUCGUAUUAGCAUAUAUCUGAAGUUGUACUGGGACUCCUGAUAGGCCAGAGCCUGUUUGGCUCUAGCAGCCUUGAGUGCCGUGCAUGGCACUAGUGCCGUAGGUUGCCUACCCCUGAUCUAGACGCAAGACAUCCUUGGCUUAGAGCAAACAUUGCUGCACUCGAUAACAUCCUAAUUUGAUGAAAAUGUGUGUGUGUUACCAGAACCUUCUUGAAGGUUAAAGGGACGCUAUAGCCACCAAAACAACUUUAGCUUAAUGAAGCAGUUUUGGUGUAUAGAUCAUACCCCUACAGUCUCACUGCUCAAUUCACUGACAUUCAGAAGUUUAAUAACUUUGUUUAUACAGCCCUAGUCACACCUCCCUGCACACUUUCACAGCCUUCGUAAACACUUCCUAUAAGAAAGAGCUUAUGUUUACACUUCCCUUAUUACACAGUGUAGCGGAACGCCAAUAAUAAAUCCACGAAUUCCGCUGGUCCAGAAACGAAUCCACAGUCAAGCGCUGACAACAACAAGGCAAUAUCCCCAACCUCCCAAUAACCGGACGAGACACAGUUUUGGGAGUCAACUGACAAUCCUUUAAUCGGCACGACAAUUUAUACAAGUCCCCAUGCAAGGGGUUUCCUGAGUCCCUCCCCAGGGGCACUCCCAGAGGGGACUACAUGGGGGACUUACAGUACAACAUAUUUCUCCCAUCAGGCAUUGCUGCACGAGAGGGAUCAUCCUCCCAGAAUGCACCGUUAAGGGGAUUAUCCCCUCGUGCAGCAGAACCGGCAAUUCACACAAAAAUCUAUAACUUUUAAAAUACACGGUGGAUUUGCACGAAUGGACGUUCGGUAGAUAGCUGGGGUCUGGGCGCAUCAUUCGUGAGAUUGCCGCUCAGAUCCCAGCCAGAAUAACCGAACGCCGCACAGAAAACACAUUUCUUUCAAAACAUACGAAAAGAACCGAUUACUUUUAGUGAACACGGUUCUGAAACUCCCGAACGUCCUGGAGGCUCAGCGGUGUUCGUGCCGUCGAAUAGCUAUUGGUAAUACUAUGCGUACGACAACACGGACCCGCUGAGGAACAAAGGAUCCAAGAUGGCCGACCGCCGCAUGGUCGGUAGUCGAACGACGGCCACCCAGGAGAGCCUCUAAUUACCGAUUGCAACAAUGUUGCAAUCGGUUAACUAGCGCCACACGCCUCUAAGUGUGUGGGCUAUGAGGGGGUAUCGCGUUCGCCUCACGAACGGCCCUCCAAAGUGCCGUUCGUGAAACGAACGGGAAUCCCCAUACACCACCAUUGGCAUUCGGCUAAACAGUAAUUACAGUCUCUGCAGAAAAUACAUCAAGCACAUACAUAAGAAUAAAGCGCAUAACGACUUCCUACGAAAGGCACUGAGAAAGGUUGACAAACUAAAGAAGGGACAGACGAUGAUAUGCGGGGACUUUAACUGUGUGUUAGACCCUGACCUAGACAGAUCAGGGACACCGGGCUCCCACCCAAGAGACAAGCUCCUAGGGGACAAACUGACGACGCUCCUCCAUCUCCAUAACCUGCAUGACACCUGGCGGGCACUCUACCCAGCCUCUAGGGACUACACCUUUUACUCCAAGGUCCAUGACCAAUAUUCGCGCAUCGACAUGUGUUGGGUCGACACUAAAACCCUGGAUACCCUAGCGGAGGUCGCUAUUGCCCCGAUAACCUGGUCAGACCAUGCCCCCCUCACAUCAUCAUUUACCACACUACACCCAGUCCGAGGACGGGGGCAAUGGAGGCUCAAUGAGUCCCUCAUAGAUAACCCUGAGAGGGCCUCUGAGAUCCAGAAAUCACUAACACAUUACUUCGAAGUCAAUCACUACAAUCACACGAGCGUCACCACGACAUGGCUAGCCCACAAGGCAGUCACCCGUGGAGCACUCAUACAGAUGGGGACAAAACUGAAGCGCCAACUAUCUGAAAAAAGUGACUCCCUACUGAAGGAAUUACAGUUAGCCGAAUCACGACACAAAGCCUCACCCACUGAACCCCAUAGACUCGAAGUCCAAAACAUUAGAUCCACGUUAGAAACACUACAAAUGCAACGGGUAGAGAGAGCCAUUAGGAAGAUGAAAACAACUUACUAUAGGCAGGGGAAUAGAGCUGGUAAACUGCUGGCCUCUCAGCUUAAGGCGAGAAGCUCCCAGGUAAAAAUCCCCUAUAUCAAGGAUGAACAUGGAACCAAAAUCAUGAACCCCAAAGCGAUUGUAGACGAAUUUGCUACUUUUUACGCAAAAUUAUACAAUCUCUCCGGGGAUUCCACCCAGCACCAGCCCACCCCUCAGAACAUCGCCACCUUCCUGGAGGGUAUACAUCUCCCCCAGCUCUCCACCGCGCAGGCCGCAACGAUGACCACCCCGAUCCUACCAGCCGAGAUCACCAGGGCACUACGAGACGCCCCAGGACCGGACGGCUACUCCGUACACUAUUAUAAGGUGUUUGAGGACCAACUACUCCCCCACCUCACGGCAUUAUUUAACCACAUUCUAGUCACGGGUAACAUACCCCCAGAGAUGUUGGAAGCCACAAUUGUCACAAUUCCCAAACCAGGCAAACCCACAGACCUAUGUGCAAACUACCGCCCGAUCUCGCUCCUCAAUGCCGACACCAAACUGUUCGCCAAGGUCCUAGCAAACCGUAUCCGACCCCUCCUAAGCCAACUCGUCUCACCUGAGCAGUCGGGCUUUGUCCCGGGCCGCCAGGUUGAGGACAACACCAGACGGGCCCUGGACAUAAUGGAACUCAUGGACUCUGACCGGUUACAAGGCCUUAUAGUUGCCCUAGAUGCGGAGAAAGCCUUCGACAGGCUCCACUGGGGCUAUAUGUCGGAGGUCCUGCGCAAGUUUAAUUUUCCGCCCCAAUUCCUGACUGGACUCUUAUCCCUGUACACUUCCCCCCGGGCGACUGUCAUGAGCUCUGGCUUCGUCUCUAGACGCUUUGAUCUGACGAACGGCACACGACAGGGCUGCCCACUCUCGCCCCUCAUAUUCAUUCUCGCAAUGGAACCCCUACUCCACAAAAUCAAGGCAAACUCUAACAUCGCGGGGGUCCCCUCACCAACGGGACAACAUAAACUAGCAGUGUUUGCGGAUGACAUCCUCCUUUUUCUCACCAGGCCCUCAGACUCACUCCCCACUCUACUGCACCUUUUGCACGACUACGGCCGUGUAUCUUACUAUAAAAACAACAUAGCAAAAACACAGGUGCUACCCAUGAACCUGCCCAGAUCCCAACUUGAAUCUCUUAAAGUACUCCACCCCUUCGAAUGGAGGAAGGACACCCUCUCUUAUUUAGGCACACAGCUGACACCCUCAAAAACCAAACUCAUAAGACAUAACCAUAGGAAAUUGAUGGGAGACAUAGAACGACGGCUGGAUAGCUGGGGCACCAAAAACACAUCUUGGCUAGGACGUAUAAUGCCAUCAAAAUGGUCAUCCUCCCACAAAUACUAUUUCUUUUUAGAGCCCUACCGAUUACCCUCCCCAAGUACACCCUCCGGGCAUUCCAAAGCCUUAUUAAUGCGCACAUAUGGAAACGGAAACCACCAAGGGUAUCUCUGGCGAACAUCAGUAUGGUUAUGGGAGGAGGUGGGGUGGGUGUGCCCCACAUAACCAAAUACUAUCUAGCGACACACCUGGCCCAGAUGGCACGCCUUCUGGCUCCCUCAGACUACCCAAUGUGGUUCCACCUAGAGAGUGCAUUCAGCGCGCCUCUAUCCCUCGGCGACCUACUGUGGACCACGACAAAGGCCCAACCCCAUUAUCCCAAGCUACUCUCGACAUCGAGGGGAUCACUCCAGGUGUGGCUCAGAUGGGCCCCAAAAAUGACCGGUGGGAACAUAGAAGCCCUUGCCCCGCUGACUACUCUCCAGCACCACACUCACGACCUCCCCUUGCAGGGAUGGAUAGGACAAGGAGUGACCAGAAUAUCACAUCUCCUGGGAAUAGAUGGUCUACUACCAUUCCCCGACCUCCAGAAAAAAUACCUCAUACCUAACAAGGAGAUCUUCACAUACAUUCGUAUUAAACACAUAAUAGGAGACGUCAAAAAACUAACCAUGCUCACACAACCCCACAACUGUUUUGACACGAUGUGCCUGGGCCAAAAAACCCCCAAAAAGCCAUUGUCCCUAUGUUACCAUCGCCUAUUAGACUUAGACAGGCCAACAAAACAAUCCUACAUGUUACAUUGGGAAAGGGAGCUGAAAAGUACCUUUGAGCCGCACAGAUGGAUGAGGGCCAUGUCAUUAGUAAAAAAAGCCACACACUGCCUAGACCACGUAGAAGCGGCCUACAAGUUAUGGCUUCGAUGGUACUAUACGCCUCAACGGCUGGCCGAAAUAUACCCGGGCUCCCGGGCAACGUGCUGGCGCUGUAACCAACAAGAAGGCACCCUAAGCCAUAUAUUCUGGUACUGCCCUGCACUCAGCCAAUACUGGCAACAAAUCCAAGAUCUGAUAAAACUCAGAGUAGGGAUAGACCUACCACCUGCCCCUGAACACUACCUGCUCCAUAUGAUGCCACCCGAAAUAACAGCCCACGAGGCCACACUGAUCACCCACAUCACGCUUGCUGCAAAGCAACGAAUAGCUGCCCUAUGGAAAUCCACCUUAGCACCAGACAUACAGUCGGUAAUUACCAAAGUGAAUCUCACCCAACAGUAUGAGGAAAUGUCGCACACGAUUAGUGGUACCCUACUGAAGUAUAAGGGCAUUUGGUCCAAAUGGUAGAUGACCGUGACAGCAUGGCGACGAACACCUCCCUCUAAUACACAUGUAUAGGGGAGCAUCCCGAAACCCCCCCCCCCUCUUUUUUCCCCCUAGUUCCCGACAUCUCCCACCUACUUCCAUCCUCCCCCCCCCCCUUUUUUUCUUCUUGAGAAAUCAAGGGUUAUAGCCACGUUGGCAAACCUCUCAACUCUGAGGAAACCAGUAGAGCAAUUACGGAAUAACAGCCUAUGGAGCUGUUGUAUAUGUGGCACCCUGAAGCAUCGCUUGAAUAAUUAGGUAACUGGAAAUCAAUUGCCACUCAGAUCUGUUCCUGUACCCGUUUCUUACGGCUCCAAUGUAUUAGAUCCUACUGUGUAAUACUAUGAUGUUGAACCCUCAAUAAAAAUGAUAUAUACAAAAAAAAAAGAAUAAAGCGCAUAUCUCCCCAGACCUGUAGGCAACCCUUAAAGGCACAGUCUCUAGUUAUAGUUCAAGUGGCUAGGUUUGCCACACACAGUCUGUUUAAUUUUGAAUUUCUUAUCUCCUGCUCUGUUAAUUGCUUGCUAGACCUUGCAGGAUCCGAUUGUAUGUGAUUAAAGUUAAAUUUAAAGACCAAGAGAUAAAAACUUGUAAAGUAAGUUAACAUCGGAUGAAAAAAGAACAGGUGGAAGCGAAAUACUAUAUCGAAAGUAUCUAGGACAGACACUACGGGGUAACCCUUGGAGAAAAUUGGAAAACAGAAAAAUGUGAUCUGUCCUAAUAGCAUCACUGGAAUAGACAAAAUAUAUUAAAAUAUAAUAUUUAAUGGGUAUAAUUAAAAGGGAGUAACUGAAAGGCAUGGGAAAAUAAUGGGGUAAUAAAAAGAAAAUAGAAAAGAAUUCGCUGUACCAUUGCUAUAUAGAAGAAGGAAAUCUGAAUGGCAAAACCACCGGGAUUAAAAAGAGCGAAUAUACUGCUAAAUUACUAUAUUGGAGAAAUGUGUAAAGAAAAGUAUUUAACAAUUUAACCAGGUCCCUAAAUAGGAAGUGCAACACAGAGCAAAGAAACAAAGUAGCCAUCUGUGCAGUAACAGCAUAUCUCGUUAGUAGCAAGAGACUAUAGUACUAGGUGAGCCUCAAAAAGGAGGGGACCAUCACCUAAAUGUCUUAAAAAAUGGAUAUAUAUCCCUAUAGUAGCAGUAUAUAGAUAGAGCAAUAUUAGGAUAAGUAGGUAGAUUGCAGAAUGUGCAUAGGAUACCUUGAGAGAAUAGAAACAAUAUGAGGUGGAGCAGAUCUAAGGCAUAGGUAAUCCCUAAAUCUGUAUCUUCAAGGGCACAAAUAUACCUGAUGGUGAAACCACCCAAUACUAAUUCGUUCUAAGUAAUCCCUAAAUCUGUGCCUUCGAGGGCACCUAAUAAGCUAAACGCUGCUAUCUAUAUAGAAGGUAAAAUGAAUACCCACUUUCCCCGCUGGCCUCUGUAAUUAAAGUAUCGAGAUAGAAUAAAUACGAAUGACAGAUAAUGCCAAUCUGGAGAAGUAAUGUCUGUCUGCAGGGUAGGAGUUUAACACUGAGCCCCAAGUUAACAUCGGAUUGCUAAUGAAACCGUUCUUUCAUGCAGGUUGUCAGUCACAGCCAUGGGAGGUAUGACUAGGGCUGUAUAACCCGUAAACGUAAAGUGAUUUAACUCCUACAUGGCAGAGAAUUGAGCCCGUGAGACUGCAGGGGCAUGAUCGAUACACAAACGGCUUUAAGAUAAAAUUGUCUUGUGACAAGAGUGUCCCUUUAAUUUAGCAGUUUGUGUGUUUAAUAAUUUCACCCUUAAUAUGUAUUAUUUUGUUACAUAAUCUGUGUUUCUCUGUCUCAGUCUCUGUGUCCCAGGGUUGGGGUCGGAUGUUCGAUGUCUUGGACCCUGUGGGGCAGAGAUUAUUUCAGGCCAAGCAGGAGUAUCAGUGUUGUGGACCGGUGUAUAAUGUAAAAAUCUCCGAUAACAGCGACAGAGAUGUUCUGGAACUGAUCCAGGAGUGUGCGUGUACCUGCACGCGGCAGGUGAGACGGUGCUGUGGAUUUCACGGAUGGCAUAUUUAUCUGGACAUAAGCAGACUGGAUUUACACAAAGCACGUUAGCAAUGUUUGUCCUCUGUGAGAAUGUGCAUAAAGUGCCUUGUUUGCAUUUAGAUCAUGUUUAGUAUGAAGGGUGACAGCCAGAAAUCACACAGACUGGGGAUGAGGUCAGGAAACAGAGCCAAUAGGAGCAGUGAGCGUUCUCCAAUACUGGCUGUGAAGACUUGUAGUCUCAUGUUGUAAGCAUAUUAGAAAUCUUUCAUUGUCUUAUUUUAAUGCGUAGCAGCAAUCUCUCUCUGUCUCUCUCUGUGACAGCUGCAGGUCUAUAGUCUUACUGGAGACCUACUUGGAAGUGUGAGGUUACACCUGGACUCGUUUGUUACACAUCUCUCAUUGCGAAAUCCUGCUGACGAGGUUCUGCUGUUAAUCAUCGGACCCAGUUUUCAGACCAAUAUAUUUGGGAAUUCCAACUUUGAGGUAGAAAGCUUUGCCAGGGGGCAGUGUACAUACAGUGUCAGUGAUACAGACAAGAGGCGCUAUACAUUCAGUGUCAGUGAUACAGACAGGGGGGGCGCUGUACAUACAGUGUCAGUGAUACAGACAGGGGGCGCUAUACAUGCAGUGUCAGUGACACAGACGGGGGCGCAGUGUAUACAUGCAGUUUUACAGACAGGGGGCGCUGUACAAACAGUGUCAGUGAUACAGACAGGGGGCGCUGUACAUACAGUGUCAGUGAUACAGACGGGGCGAUGUACAUGCAGUGUCAGUGAUACAGACAGGGGGGCUGUACAUGCAGUAUCAGUGAUACAGACAGGGGGCGCUGUACAGGCAGUGUCUGAUACAGACGGGACGCUAUACACGCAGUGUCUGAUACAGACAGGGGACGCUAUACACGCUGUGUCUGAUACAGACAGGAGACGCUAUACACGCAGUGUCUGAUACAGACAGGGGACGCUAUACACGCAGUGUCUGAUACAGACAGGGGACGCUAUACACGCAGUGUCUGAUACAGACAGGGGACGCUAUACACGCUGUGUCUGAUACAGACAGGGGACGCUAUACACGCAGUGUCUGAUACAGACAGGGGACGCUAUACACGUACAGGCAGUGUCUGAUACAGACAGGGGGCGCUGUACAGGCAGUGUCUGAUACAGACAGGGGACGCUGUACAGGCAGUGUCUGAUACAGACAGGGGACGCUAUACACGCAGUGUCUGAUACAGACAGGGGACGCUAUACACGCAGUGUCAGUGAUACAGACAGGGGACGCUAUACACGCAGUGUCAGUGAUACAGACGGGACGCUGUACGUGCAGUGUCAGUGAUACAGACAGGGGGCGCUGUACACGCAGUGUCAGUGAUACAGACGGGACGCUGUACGUGCAGUGUCAGUGAUACAGACAGGGGGCGCUAUACGUGCAGUGUCAGUUAUACAGACGGGGGCGCUGUACAUGGAGUGUCAGUGAUACAGAUCUGUCUCUCGCCCACAGGUAAAGUCCCGAGAUGAGCAGCACGUGGUGGGGAUGAUCAGGAAUGAGAGUGAGCAGUUCUCUGUGUCUUUUCCUCUGGAUCUGGAUGUUACAGUGAAAGCCUUGUUAUUGGGGGGCAGCUUCUUUCUGGUAAGUGUCCAGUGCACUGCGUCAUCCAGAAUAAUCCAGCUAUGUACUGUAAUAAUGGCUGAAAUAGUUCUCUACCCCAGAAUCUCCACCUGUCAUGCAGAUACCUGGUUUGGCUUUCAUUUGUAAAUAAAGAUUUAGGAAUCGGGUUGUCUAUGUCUGCUGCAGACAUGCUGGCGGCUGACUAGGCCAAUGCGAGACCUUCAAAUCCACAAUGUCACGCUCCUUCAUCUGUUUAAUUUUAUUCUCAAUAUCUGCAUGGGGUGUGUUCUCGCAAGAGGUGACAGCCUGAUGAAUGGUGUGUCUCCAAGUCUUCCAAUCGGAGGUUAGAGCAGACUGUUGAUGUUGGAGACUUUGUACCUUUUCGUUGGUGCUCCUUUGUUGUGGUGUCCAGUGGCGAGUUCACAUAUAGGACCUUAGGUAAGGGAUAAUCUUCCAUCCUGGAGACAUGCCCUGCCCAGCGCAGCUGCAACUUCAAAAGCAUUGCUUCGAUGCUGGUGGUCUCUGCCUGUUUGAGAACUUCGAUGUUGGUGAUGAAGUCAUUCCAUUGAAUGUUGAAGAUUGUGCGGAGGCAGCGUUGGUGAAAGCAGUCAGAGUCACAGGAGAUAGGUAACCUCUGACUUGGGGAAUGGUUAGUAUGACAGCUCUGUACUCAGGGCCAGCAGGGGGAGCCCGAAGGUGGGGGCGCCCAGAGGAGCCCUGUCACUGUAUGGCAGAGCAGGCACCUUCUUACCUUAAUGACCGGUGCCUGCUCUGCCAUCAAAUGCCGGUGCCCGGAGGAGAAAAAAAGGCGGCGAGGGAGGCUCUUCUUGCAGCCUCUCAUUCCUCCCUCGCGUGCCCUCUGUGAUGCUGGAAGCCGGAAUAUGACGUCAUUCCGGCCCCAUCACACUAAACGGCACGCUGGAGGAGUGAGACCCUAGGGAUGUGAGUGUCUGUCAGUGAGUGUCAGUGUCUGUGUAUCUGUCUGUCAGUGAGUGAGUGACAUGAAGGGGCGGUAAAAUGGAUUUUUGCCUAGGGCGGGAAAAACCCAUGCACCGGCCCAGUCUGUACUGACUUAUUUUUGUGCCUCUCUUCAGAUGUUUGUUGUGCCAGACUCUACUAUACACUCUGCCAAAUGCUCUGUUUGACUUUGCCAGUCUAUCUAUCUUGUGUUGAUCUUGGCAUGUAAAGAGGUGAUGCACCCAAGGUAGUUGAACUGAUCGACUCUCUUCAGCUCUGGUUCACCAUAUGUGACGGUAAACUUCAUGAGGUCUAGGCUGGUAGAGGACUUCUGUCUUUUUCAGGCUUACUUCUAAUCCAAAGAGCUCUGCAGCCUCUGUUAUUCGCUGCAAAGCUGUCACUGUGUGUAAAUCAAAGGCAGCAUUGUCCACGAAAAGCAGCUGUCUGAGUUGGUUCACAGUCUUGGUGUGAACCCUUAGUCGCCUCCAGUAAAGUAAGCAGCCCUCAGUGUGGUAAUGGAUAUAGACAUCAUUCUCUUUAUCAAGGUGAAGCAUCAAGCUGAAAUAAAUUGUGAAGAGAGUUUGUGCAAGAACACAGCCUUGUUUUACACCACUGCCUAUAAGGAAUGGUUCUGAGAAGUUGUUGCAGUGUCUGACUUGACCAUAUUGAACUUCGUGUAGCUAAAUGAUCAUAUUGGGGAACUUAGGAGGACAUCCUAGACGUUGCGAAAUUAACCACAUACCUUUUUUUUCUCACAGUGUUGAACACUUUGGUGAUGUGAAUGACUGCCACGUAAAAUACCUUGUUCUGUUCCCAACCUUUUUGGAGCUGUCUGAGAACAAAUGCCUUUACGGUGGUGCUCGUUCUAGCUCUUAAGCCGCAUUGGCUCUCUGGAAAGCGUUCUUCUGCAGUGGUGGGUACCAGUUUGUUCAAAAGUACCUGUAGCGGAACGCCAAUUAUAAAUCCACGAAUUCCGCUGGUUCAGAAACGAAUCCACAGUCAAGCGCUGAAAACCAUAAGGCAAUAUCCCCAACCUCCCAGUAACCGGACGAGACACAGUUCUGAGAGUCAACUGACAACCUUUUAAUCGGCAGGACAAUUUAUACAAGUCCCCAUGCAAGGGGUUUCCUGAGUCCCUCCCCAGGGGCACUCCCAGAGGGGACUACAUGGGGGACUUACAUUACAGCAUAUUUCUCCCAUCAGGCACCGCUGCACGAGAGGGAUCAUCUUCCCAGAAUGCACCGUUAAGUGGAUUAUCCCCUCGUGCAGCAGAACCGACAAUUCACACAAAAAUCCAUAACUUGGUGAAUAUACAGUGGAUUUACACGAAUGGACGUUCGGUAGAUAGCUGGGGUCUGAGCGCAUCAUUCGUGAGAUUACCGCUCAGAUCCCAGCUAAAAUAACCGAACGCCGCACGAAAAACACAAUUCGUAUAAAACAUAUAAAAAGAACCGAUUGCUUGUAGGGAACAAAAUACCGAAUGUCCCGAAACUCCCGAACGCCCUGGAGGCUCAGCGGGGUUCGUGCCGUCGAGUAGCCGUUUUUAGUACCAGGCGCUCGACGACAUAACCCCGCUGAGGGAACAAAGGAUCCAAGAUGGCCGACCGUAUAUGGCGUGUAUAUGGCCGACCGAUAGCGUCACGUAGGUCCUGUGGUAAUUUACCUUGUUCCCAGCAGCAGACAAAGAAAUCAUGAAGUUUAGUGUUGGGCACCCAUACUUUCAGACUUCAGUCGGAAUUCCAUCGACUCCUGAUGCCUUGCCACUUUUCAGCUUUUUAAUGGUCUUACAUUGGAUGGUUCUGCAUACAAGACAGAAUGCUGCUCUCUUAUAGAAACAUAGAAUGUGAUGGCAGAUAAGAACCAUUCGGCCCAUCUAGUCUGUCCAACAUUCUAAAUACUUUCAUUAGUCCCUGGCCUUAUCUUAUAGUUAGGAUAGCCUUAUGCCUAACCCACACAUGAGGGUGCAGACAAUUUUUUUUUUUUUUUUUUGCUGGAAGAUGGUGUUGGUGAUGACAAGUUUCUGAGCCCAGUCUCUGCCUACUCUGGCAUUUAAGUCAUCAUGGAUCGUAACCUAGUUGUCAACAAGAACGUUCUGCAUGAGGUUGUGUAGAACUUUUUAGCAGGACUUACUUGAAGAGUUAGGGCAUACACGCUAAACAGCAUGACAUUUUGCUUGUUUUAAAGUUGAAGGCGCAUGGAGAUAAUGCGAUCUGAGUGACCUGAUGACAGAUUUUCAAGUCGGGAGGCAAUGAAGUUCCUGAUCAUACAGACAACAACACAGAGGAGACCAGUAGAGGGUGUAUCCUGCGCCAAGCUCUUCAAGGCUGUCUACCUCUGGGAGGUAUACUUCACUGAGAGCAGUGAUAUUGUGGUGAAAGUAACCUCGCCACUGUUUUUUGGAGGGGCCUGUUUGCCAGCCUCCUUCUCUGUGACUAUGGCCCCUGCAAUAGACCAUGUGCACGGUCGGUCAAAACUAUGACUUCUAUAAAAUGUCUGAACCUCUGAUCUCGGUGAUUUUUGGAUAUAUUGUCAGGGCUAUCAGGGAAUGUAACAUUUAUGGGGAUUUGUUGUGUUUUGGGGUACUUAUGAGACUUUGUAAAAAUGUGUGUUUUUCUGCCUGGAGAUAAUUGGGUUAAUACAGUAUCUCACUCCAUUAUCUCACAGGCAGAUUGGAGGGAUUGUAUGCUUGUUAUGGGAGUGUCGUACAUUUAAUUACUGUUUUUAUUGGUUUGUUAACUUGUGUCCCUGUGCCCAACAAGGUCCACAUGGAUGUCACCCUUGUUGGUAAAUUUGCAUAAAAGGCCAGUGUGGCCCUAUUAAAAUGGAGUUACUGUUUUACCCUCAACAUGGUCUCAUCUCAUGUGUGGGGGGGGAAAGGCUGUGUCUACCCUGGGAAUUGCUAUAUCACUAUACUCCACAGGGAUUAUAAUCACUAGCUCUUUUAAGAGUGUAACGGAUCGCCUGGCACCUCGACUGGGUACCUCCGUUGAAAGAUGCUCCUAGCGCUUCCUGAGGACUCCAAGCACUGCAGCAGACGCCACAAUCACCGAACCAGAGAAGCGUUAACCUUCUCUCAAGCAUAUGAAUGCUGUAGACAGUUGAAUAGGAACCAUACGAAUAGGUUUACUCUCCUAGCAGUCAAACUGGAACAGCAUACAAUAAAUCCUUCCCCCAAUAAUGAGACGACACUUCACUUUGAGGGUUAAAACAGGAACUCCCUGUACUGUCACAUACAGUCUCUUUUAUUCCCAAUCCACAAACAUAGUACAGCCCACAGGGCGUUACAAAACAACCAAUCAAUCCGUACAAUACACCCAGACACUCCCACACAAAAUCCUCCCCUCUGCCUGUGAUAUGAUUACUGAACACAAUGGGUAAUCUCAUUAUCACCAGCAGAGGAAUACAGUUUUUACACAAUAUUUAUAACUUCUAAAAUAUACAUGUCACAAACAUAAAACAUACAUUUUCAUAAUCAAUCCAUUCAGGGGAACAACAUAUUAAAAAAUGGCACGAAUCAGACCAGGGGUUCAAAAGUUAAGGGAAAGUCCUUUGUGACUAAAUGAAGCAUGGCUUUCUGGCCCAAACCAGUUUCAGAGUCUUCUAUCCUGGAGAGUAAUUCAAUUAUCUCCCAGGACAGACACAAGACUCCAUUAAGCACAUGGUUGCAAAAAGACACAAAACACUUUAAAAUACAUAAAGUCACAUUUACACAUAAACACAGACAUUUCACAUAUCCCCAGAUAGCUAUGAGUGCACAUUAUUAGCGAUGGCACUCAGAUCACACAAAUAAGCCUUCUGCAGGGAAAUAAACGGUUUAACCUGCAGGGCCAUAGUCCAAAGGGAGCAGGCGAGCAACCAGGCUUCUCCAGUUCACAGUGGCGAGGUUGGUUUCGCCACAAAGAGCUUGUUUCUGCUACGCUCUCUGGAGUAGGAGAGGUUCACCCAUUGGAAGCUGGAUCCUGGUCUUGGGUCCAGGGUGGGUCGAGGAUGGAGAGUUCCCAGCCAAGCUGUAACGCUGGACGUGGGGACUGCGGUGUUGAUGGAGUCGGGUGGAGUGUUUGGAGUCCUUGGUGAGUACUAGGAGCAUCGACUGACGGAGGUACCCAGUCGGGGGCCCAGGCGGUCCGUCACAUCUGGUGGCAGUGGUGGGAUGGCUUCCUAGUGCGAGGAAAAAUAUCCUGGAGACACCGGUAAUGUGUGGAUUUAUAUUGAGGGCAACACCAAUCCCCGUACAGCGCCCCUGGCAACAGCAGUAUGGAACCAGCUAGUCCUCAAAUAGCGUUCCUAUACAAGGAGGAAGAUGACCCGGACUGGAGGGAUGCAGUCCGGAAAGACGUCUGGUAUGAGAUCAUACAGCAUCGGCGAGGCGAAAGUCUACCCAGUGAAGAGCAGCGUCGACAGAUGCAAGUGGCGCUGCGGAUGCCUCUCCUGGGAGAGCAGCCCCUGAAUGAGUGGGUGACAGAACUCGAGGACCUGGUAUGGAAGGAGCUUUAGCUAGACGACUCCUACCAGGCCCUAUGAUGGUAUAUGGGUAGGCAUACCCCCUGGAUGGCUGAGCACGAAAGGCCUGAGGGGGAGGAUUAUGAUGACCCUGGCCUGUUAUGGGAGGCCUUUGCAGAACCAGAGUUUGGAAGUGCUGGAAAGUCACGAUUCUGUGACGUUUAUGAGAUCUCUCUACCGGCCCUACAGGGAUGCUGGGCAGCCGGCUCAGAUCCCCAGCUACAGCAGGAGUUACUGGGAGUAGGGACAGUCAGUCCUACUCCCCAGUGGCAGCUUACCUUGCAGGGAGAGGAGACAACCGGUCUCUCUCUCCAGCAGCAGUGCAUCCUACAGGGAGUGGAGACAAUCUGUCUCACUCCCCAACAGUAGUGUGUGUUACCGGUCUCCCUCCCCAGCGGCAGUGUACCUUGCAGGGAGAGGAGACAACCGAUCUCUCUCUCCAACAGCAGCCGGAGAUACAGAGAGAGGAGACAACUGGCCCUUCUCCCCAACCACAGGGGGACAGCACUCCUGACUCCAAUGGUGCAGAUGGGACCAUGGUCUCUGCACCAGACCUACAGGGAUGCUGGAUGGCCGGUCCAGAUCCCCAACCAACACCGCAGGAAUGCCUGGAGGAGGAGAUAGGCGAUCCCUCCUCUCCACAGCAGAACCUCAACCAGGUUCUGGGGGUAGUAUCCGCUGAACCUAUCCCAGGAGAAGAGCUGGCAACAAGGCAGAGCGCCGCUGGCCUCUACCCUACCUGCCCCCUUGUUAAAGGGCAGGACUACGCACUAGUCCUCCCAGCAGAAGUGCUGACAUCAGGGCAGAGCGCAGUUGCCCUCUGUCCACCCAUUUCCUGUUGUCCAGGGCCUGAAUACCCGCAGGCAACCCCAGCAGAAGCGCUGGCAACAGGGCAGAGCGUAGUUGGCCUCUGCCCUCCCCUUGUCCUUAAUCCUGAAACUGGCACCCCUCUCAAUCACCCAGCUGUAACGAUAGCUGCGGGGCAGAGCACCACUGGUCUCUGCCCACCAAGUAACACGAACUACCAACUGGAGAGCUACCGAGAAGCCAGUACCAGUAUUACUUUAUCGGUGGGAUACUCGACUAACUCAGGCACUGACCAACAGGAGAUCAGGUACCUGGUUAGUCUCCCAGAGGGAGAUAGGUGGUGAAAGUAACCUCGCCACUAGUUUUAGGAGGGGCCUGUUUGCCAGCCUCCUACCCUGUGACUAUGGCCCCUGUGAUAAAACUUGCUUUAAAUCACUGUUUGUGCCUUUUUGGAUUUUUAUGGCCACAGUUCAAACUUUCAAAAUGGCACUUUUUAAACUCCUGAACAGUCUAAGUGGCCGCCAUUCAACAUUCGAACAGGUGGUGUUGGCCAUCUUGUUCGCAUGGACCAAAACCGCGAAUAGACUUCAGGGGGACUUAGCCGCGAAUGCCCUGGAAGAUCUCUACAUGGUAUAAGGAGGAUGUUUAUUAGGAGAUACAGAUAGAUAUUAUACACACACCAUACGGGGCACUGACCUAUUGAGUUGGAGCCUAUUAUACCCUGCAUAUUAUCAGCCAGACAUUCUCGUUUUAACAUUUAUUACAUGGAAGACUGUUGCUGAUCAAUGGAAUCAGUGGGUGUGUUCAAUUUAUAAAGCAAGAUGGUAUUAAUACUUUGCUCUCCGGCUGUAUGCUGGUGGAGAUGGCGUGUUUCAGACCGUGCCGUGCUGCUGUAGUCAGUGACAUAGGAGAAGACGUUAAAGUGUAUGUAGAUCUGGGGUUCGCAUUUCUCACAAUGCUCUUGGUAAAACCUGUAAGUGAGUCGACUUGCAUGUGAUUGGUUAGUGAGUCGCCGCGGUGUGCAAGCUUCCAGUGGUAGCAGUAAUAGCGAUAUAGAAAGGGUAGUAGAUACCUGGAAUAGCUUUCCAGUGGGAGCAGUAACAGUGAUAUAGAAAGGGUAGUAGAUACCUGGAAAAGCGUUCCAGUGGGAGCAGUAACAGUGAUAUAGAAAGGGUAGUAGAUACCUGGAAGAGCCUUCCAGUGGGAGCAGUAACAGCGAUAUAGAAAGGGUAGUAGAUACCUGGAAUAGCCUUCCAGUGGGAGCAGUAACAGUGAUAUAGAAAGGGUAGUAGAUACCUGAAUAGCCUUCCAGCGGGAGCAGUAACAGUGAUAUAGAAAGGGUAGUAGAUACCUGGAAUAGCCUUCCAGUGGGAGCAGUAACAGGGAUAUAGAAAGGGUAGUAGAUACCUGGAAUAGCCUUCCAGUGGGAGCAGUAACAGUGAUAUAGAAAGGGUAGUAGAUACCUGGAAUAGCCUUCCAGUGGGAGCAGUAACAGUGAUAUAGAAAGGGCAGUAGAUACCUGGAAUAGCCUUCCAGUGGGAGCAGUAACAGUGAUAUAGAAAGGGCAGUAGAUACCUGGAAUAGCCUUCCAGUGGAAGCAGUAACAGUGAUAUAGAAAGGGUAGUAGAUACCUGGAAUAGCCUUCCAGUGGGAUCGGUAACAGAGAUAUAGAAAGGGUAGUAGAUACCUGGAAUAGCCUUCCAGUGGGAGCAAUAACAGUGAUAUAGAAAGGGUAGUAGAUACCUGGAAUAGCCUUCCAGUGGGAGCAGGAACAGUGAUAUAGAAAGGGUAGUAGAUACAUGGAAUAGCCAUCCAGUGGGAGCAGUAACAGUGAUAUAGAAUGGGUAGUAGAUACCUGGAAUAGCCUUCCAGUGGGAGCAGUAACAGUGAUAUAGAAAGGGUAGUAGAUACCUGGAAUAGCCUUCCAGCGGGAGCAGUAACAGUGAUAUAGAAAGGGUAGUAGAUACCUGGAAUAGCCUUCCAGUGGGAGCAGUAACAGUGAUAUAGAAAGGGUAGUAGAUACCAGGAAUAGCCUUCCAGUGGGAGCAGUAACAGUGAUAUAGAAAGGGUAGUAGAUACAUGGAAUAGCCUUCCAGUGGGAGCAGUAACAGUGAUAUAGAAAGGGUAGUAGAUACCUGGAAUAGCCUCCCAUUGGGAGCAGUAACAGUGAUAUAGAAAGGGUAGUAGAUACCUGGAAUAGCCUUCCAUUGGGAGCAGUAACAGUGAUAUAGAAAGGGUAGUAGAUACCAGGAAUAGUCUUCCAGUGAGAGCAGUAACAAUGAUAUAGAAAGGGUAGUAGAUAGCUGGAAUAGCAUUCCAGUGGGAGCGGUAACAGUGAUAUAGAAAGGGUAGUAGAUACCUGGAAUAGCCUUCCAGUGGGAGCAGUAACAGUGAUAUAGAAAGGGUAGUAGAUACAUGGAAUAGCCUUCCAGUGGGAGCAGUAAAGACACAAGUUAAUAGAAAAUAAUGAUAUAAUUGUUUUUGUUACAGGAGUCUUUUAUUUAUUCGAGGCGGAGGCAGAUGGCGGCGACAAGAAACAAAUGAUAGAAGAGGUGGAACUCGACUUGUGAUUUUUCUUUCUUUUGCGGAGAAUCAUAGUGACCCCUGCUGGUGAAUUCGUGUUGGUACCAUAGUCACCCUCUUAACACAAAGUGCUGAAUGUUUACACAGCCUCAGCGUUGUAUAAAGUGUGGUUAUAUGGUGUGGUGUUGGUUAUAUUGUUUUUAUUGUUUAUGAUUCAUAUUUUAUUUUAUGAAAGUAGAAUAAAACAUUUUGUAGAGCUCCUGUUUCGAAUGUCCUGUAAACCUGAUUUCGAGAUGAUGAAUCCGAUAAAUUGCAUGUUGCUAUCGCAUUAGAACCGAUAAAACACGACCGCUCUAAUCGUGGGGUUUAUUUAGUGAAUCUGGCAUUGUAACUUGAUCACUUCCCCCCGAUGUCCCCGAUACGCAGGACUUGGUGCCGUGACUUGUUACGUGGUACUGGUGGAGCCGCAGGUUUUAAAAUAGUGACAUUGUGUGGCUCCAGGAUAUCCUGAUACAUUGUGUAUGAUGUCAGAGAUCACACAAUUC